AAUAGACAGGGGAAAGGUAAGGUACUGACUACAUUACAGGGUAGUGAUCAAUAGACAGGGAAAGGUAAGGUACUGACUACAUUACAGGGUAGUGAUCAAUAGACAGGGGAAAGGUAAGGUACUGACUACAUUACAGGGUAGUGAUCAAUAGACAGGGAAAGGUAAGGUACUGACUACAUUACAGGGUAGUGAUCAAUAGACAGGG